rnacentral:rRNA from 1 species
UACGAAGGGGGCUAGCGUUGUUCGGAAUCACUGGGCGUAAAGGGCGCGUAGGCGGUCACGACAAGUCAGUUGUGAAAUCUCCGGGCUUAACUCGGAAAGGUCAACUGAUACUGUGCGACUAGAGUGCAGAAGGGGCAACUGGAAUUCUCGGUGUAGCGGUGAAAUGCGUAGAUAUCGAGAGGAACACCUGCGGCGAAGGCGGGUUGCUGGGCUGACACUGACGCUGAGGCGCGAAAGCCAGGGGAGCGAACGGG